rnacentral:misc_RNA from 1 species
GAUGAAGAACGUAGCGAAAUGCGAUAAGUAGUGUGAAUUGCAGAAUUCAGUGAAUCAUCGAAUCUUUGAACGCACAUUGCGACCCUUGGUAUUCCAUGGGGCAUGCCUGUUCGAGCGUCAUUUGUACCUUCAAGCUCUGCUUGGUGUUGGGUGUUUGUCUCGCCUCUGCGUGUAGACUCGCCUUAAAACAAUUGGCAGCCGGCGUAUUGAUUUCGGAGCGCAGUACAUCUCGCGCUUUGCACUCAUAACGACGACGUCCAAAAGUACAUUUUUACACUCUUGACCUCGGAUCAGGUAGGGAUACCCGCUGAACUUAAGCAUAUCAAUAAGCGGAGGA